rnacentral:rRNA from 1 species
AACGAGCGCUGGCGGCAUGCCUAACACAUGCAAGUCGAACGAGACCUUCGGGUCUAGUGGCGCACGGGUGCGUAACGCGUGGGAACCUGCCCUUAGGUUCGGAAUAACUCCCCGAAAGGGGUGCUAAUACCGGAUAAUGUCUUCGGACCAAAUAUUUAUCGCCUUUGGAUGGGCACGCGUUGGAUUAGCUAGUUGGUAGGGUAAAAGCCUACCAAGGCGACGAUCCAUAGCUGGUCUGAGAGGAUGAUCAGCCACACUGGGACUGAGACACGGCCCAGACUCCUACGGGAGGCAGCAGUGGGUAAUAUUGGACAAUGGGCGAAAGCCUGAUCCAGCAAUGCCGCGUGAGUGAUGAAGGCCUUAGGGUUGUAAAGCUCUUUUACCCGGGAUGAUAAUGACAGUACCGGGAGAAUAAGCUCCGGCUAACUCCGUG